CCCAGUCGAGCGGCGAACGGGUGAGUAACGCGUGGAUUAUCUGCCCUGAGGUGGGGGAUAACCCGGGGAAACUCGGGCUAAUACCGCAUAAUACCGAGAGGUCAAAGGGGGCCGCAAGGCUCUCGCCAUGGGAGGAGUCCGCGUUCGAUUAGCUAGUUGGUAGGGUAAUGGCCUACCAAGGCGACGAUCGAUAGCCGGCCUGAGAGGGUGAUCGGCCACACUGGAACUGAGACACGGCCAG
rnacentral:rRNA from 1 species